AUAUUGUGUAUUUUUAAAUUCACGUGAAAUUCAUGACAACGGAGAUUGGAAGCUUGGCUUUGGUGUCACGUGGUACUUUUGCAUGCUUACAUUGGUACAUGUACACAGACCCCAUCAAGCAGGUCCUGCAGUUAAAGAUAAGGGUUUCAGCAGAAAGAGACUCCCUGAGUUGUUCUUAAAGCUGACUGCUGGGUAGUCUCGGUACUCGGUGUACUAGGGGUGAAUGUCAAUCAUGCUGCAGAUACAGUAUAUAGAUAAGAGACGACCCCUGCUGGAUGUUUUCGAGAAGAGCUAUUACAUCACGGUUUCCUAUGAGGAGUACAAGAGAAGGAGAAGGUGAGUGGACACAAAAAUGUUAUUGCUAAUGUUUACCCUUUAUUUUUUAAUAAAUUCUCACAUUUAA